rnacentral:rRNA from 1 species
CCUACGGGAGGCAGCAGUGAGGAAUAUUGGUCAAUGGGCGGGAGCCUGAACCAGCCAAGCCGCGUGAGAGAAGAAGGUACAGCGUAUCGUAAACCUCUUUUGUCAGGGAACAAAGGCGGGGACUAGUCCCCGGAUGAGGGUACCUGAAGAAAAAGCAUCGGCUAACUCCGUGCCAGCAGCCGCGGUAAUACGGAGGAUGCGAGCGUUAUCCGGAUUUAUUGGGUUUAAGGGGUUCGCAGGCGGCCGUGUAAGUCAUCGGUAAAAGCCCGGGGCUAAAACCGUGCUAGCUGUUGAUACUGGCGGGCUGGAGUUGGAGAGAGGUACGCGGAAUGCGCGGUGUGGCGGUGAAAUGCUUAGAUAUCGAGCAGAACCACGAUUGCGAAGGAAGCGUACCGGCUCCACACUGACGCUGAGGCAUGAAAGCGUGGGUAUCGAACAGGAUUAGAUACCCCAGUAGUC